UACGUAGGGUGCAAGCGUUAAUCGGAAUUACUGGGCGUAAAGCGUGCGCAGGCGGUGAUGUAAGACAGAUGUGAAAUCCCCGGGCUCAACCUGGGAACUGCAUUUGUGACUGCAUCGCUGGAGUGCGGCAGAGGGGGAUGGAAUUCCGCGUGUAGCAGUGAAAUGCGUAGAUAUGCGGAGGAACACCGAUGGCGAAGGCAAUCCCCCUGGGCCGCACUGACGCUCAUGCACGA
rnacentral:rRNA from 1 species